UCAAGUGACUAAGUGUAUGUGGUGGAUGCCUUGGCGAUUACAGGCGAAGAAGGACGUGGCAGUCUGCGAAAAGCCGUGGGGAGCUGACAACGAGCGUUGAACCAUGGAUAUCCGAAUGAGGGAACUCACCUGCAAAGGUAUCUUUAAGUGAAUACAUAGCUUAAAGAGGCGAACGGAGUGAACUGAAACAUCUAAGUAGCUCCAGGAAAAGAAAUCAACCGAGAUUGCGCUAGUAGCGGCGAGCGAAUGCGCAGCAGCCUAAUGCUUGAUAACACUGAUGACAGUAGAACGAUCUGGAAAGUUCGGCCAAAGACGGUGAUAGCCCGGUAUAUGAAAUUGUUGGUGUGGUACUAAGAGCAUGAGAAGUAGAGCGGGACACGUGACAUCCUGCUCGAAGAUGGGGGGACCAUCCUCCAAGGCUAAAUACUCGUAAUCGACCGAUAGUGAACCAGUACCGUGAGGGAAAGGCGAAAAGAACCCCGGGAGGGGAGUGAAAUAGAAUCUGAAACCGCAUACAUACAAACAGUAGGAGCCCGCGAGGGUGACUGCGUACCUUUUGCAUAAUGGGUCAGCGACUUACGUUCAGUAGCGAGCUUAACCGAGUAGGGGAGGCGUAGCGAAAGCGAGUUCGAAUAGAGCGAGUAGUUGCUGGGCGUAGACCCGAAACCGGAUGAUCUAUCCAUGACCAGGUUGAAGUUGUGGUAACACACAAUGGAGGACCGAACCGACUAGUGUUGCAAAAUUAGCGGAUGAGUUGUGGAUAGGGGUGAAAGGCUAAACAAAUCCGGAGAUAGCUGGUUCUCCCCGAAAACUAUUGAGGUAGUGCCUCGCGUAUCACUCCAGGGGGUAGAGCACUGUUAUGGCUAGGGGGACAUGGCGUCUUACCAAACCAUGGCAAACUCCGAAUACUUGGAAGUGUGAGCGCGGGAGACAGAGCACCGGGUGCUAACGUCCGGACUCAAAAGGGAAACAACCCAGACCGCCGGCUAAGGUCCCUAAUAUUUGCUAAGUGGAAAACGAAGUGGGAAGGCUAAGACAGUCAGGAAGUUGGCUUAGAAGCAGCCAUCCUUUAAAGAAAGCGUAAUAGCUCACUGAUCGAGUCUUUCUGCGCGGAAGAUGUAACGGGGCUAAGCAAGUAACCGAAGCCGCGGAUUCAUACGAAAGUAUGAGUGGUAGGGGAGCGUUCUGUAAGCCUGCGAAGGUGUGUUGAGAAGCAUGCUGGAGGUAUCAGAAGUGCGAAUGCUGACAUGAGUAACGUUAAAGCGGGUGAAAAGCCCGCUCGCCGUAAGCCCAAGGUUUCCUGCUCUACGUUCAUCGGAGCAGGGUGAGUCGGCCCCUAAGGCCAGGCUGAGAAGCGUAGUCGAUGGGAACAAGGUUAAUAUUCCUAGACCAUUGUCAAGUAUGCGAUGGGGGGACGGAGUGUGAAAGAUGAUCCGGGUGUUGGAUAUCCCGGUUUGUGAGAGUAGAAGGAAGGCAGGCAAAUCCGCCUUCGAAUCUUCGAGUCAAAACAUUGAUUCUCCACGUGAGAAGAAGUCAUCGGAAGUGCUUCCAAGAAAAGCCUCUAAGUGGUAGCUUGACAAGACCGUACCGCAAACCGACACUGGUGGGCGAGUUGAAUAUACUAAGGCGCUUGAGAGAACUCGGGAGAAGGAACUCGGCAAAUUGACACCGUAACUUCGGAAGAAGGUGUGCCUUUGUAGCGUGAGAGAAGAAACAUCUUAAGCGUGAAGAGGCCUCAGAGAAUAGGUGGCUGCAACUGUUUACUAAAAACAUAGCACUCUGCAAAGAUGAAAGUCGACGUAUAGGGUGUGAUGCCUGCCCGGUGCUGGAAGAUUAAUUGAUGGGGUGCAAGCUCCUGAUCGAAGUCCCAGUAAACGGCGGCCGUAACUAUAACGGUCCUAAGGUAGCGAAAUUCCUUGUC
rnacentral:rRNA from 1 species